rnacentral:rRNA from 1 species
AGAGUUUGAUCAUGGCUCAGGACGAACGCUGGCGGCGUGCUUAAUACAUGCAAGUCGAGCGAGGUUACUGUUUCGGAUCCCUUCGGGGUGAAGAAGCUUUAACCUAGCGGCGGACGGGUGAGUAACGCGUGGGUAACCUACCCCAAAGUCCGGGAUAACAGCGGGAAACCGCUGCUAAUACCGGAUGUCUUUACCUUGGGGCAUCUUGAGGUAAAGAAAGGUAACGCUUUGGGAUGGGCCCGCGUCCCAUUAGCUAGUUGGUGAGGUAACGGCUCACCAAGGCGACGAUGGGUAGCCGGCCUGAGAGGGUGGACGGCCACACUGGGACUGAGACACGGCCCAGACUCCUACGGGAGGCAGCAGUAGGGAAUAUUGCGCAAUGGACGGAAGUCUGACGCAGCGACGCCGCGUGAGCGAUGAAGGUCUUCGGAUCGUAAAGCUCUGUCCUUGGGGAAGAAGGUCUUCGGACUUGACGGUACCCAAGAAGAAAGCCCCGGCUAACUACGUGCCAGCAGCCGCGGUAAUACGUAGGGGGCGAGCGUUGUCCGGAAUUACUGGGCGUAAAGGGUGCGUAGGCGGCCCUUUAAGUCGGAUGUGAAAGCCCGCGGCUUAACCGCGGAAUGGCAUUCGAAACUGGAGGGCUUGAGUGUCGGAGAGGGUAGUGGAAUUCCCAGUGUAGCGGUGAAAUGCGUAGAUAUUGGGAGGAACACCAGUGGCGAAGGCGACUACCUGGACGAUAACUGACGCUGAGGCACGAAAGCUAGGGGAGCAAACAGGAUUAGAUACCCUGGUAGUCCUAGCCGUAAACGAUGGGUACUAGGUGUGGGUGGUUUCGAUACCAUCCGUGCCGUAGUUAACGCAUUAAGUACCCCGCCNGGGGAGUACGUGCGCAAGCAUGAAACUCAAAGGAAUUGACGG